GUGUCAGCCGCCGCGGUAAUACGUAGGGUGCGAGCGUUGUCCGGAAUUAUUGGGCGUAAAGAGCUUGUAGGCGGCUUGUCGCGUCUGCUGUGAAAUCCCGGGGCUUAACUCCGGGCUUGCAGUGGGUACGGGCAGGCUAGAGUAUGGUAGGGGAGACUGGAAUUCCUGGUGUAGCGGUGGAAUGCGCAGAUAUCAGGAGGAACACCGAUGGCGAAGGCAGGUCUCUGGGCCAUUACUGACGCUGAGAAGCGAAAGCGUGGGGAGCGAACAGGAUUAGAAACCCCGGUAGUCC
rnacentral:rRNA from 1 species